rnacentral:rRNA from 1 species
GUUGCCAGCAUUCAGUUGGGCACUCUAAGGUGACUGCCGGCUAAAAGUCGGAGGAAGGUGGGGAUGACGUCAAAUCAUCAUGCCCUUAUGACCUGGGCUACACACGUGCUACAAUGGGCGGUACAAAGGGUCGCGAACCCGCGAGGGGGAGCCAAUCCCAAAAAGCCGCUCUCAGUUCGGAUUGCAGGCUGCAACUCGCCUGCAUGAAGCCGGAAUCGCUAGUAAUCGCGGAUCAGCAUGCCGCGGUGAAUACGUUCCCGGGCCUU